rnacentral:rRNA from 1 species
ACGCUCGACACCUACGGGAGGCAGCAGUGGGGAAUAUUGCACAAUGGGGGAAACCCUGAUGCAGCAACGCCGCGUGAAGGAAGACGGUUUUCGGAUUGUAAACUUCUGUUCUUAGUGAAGAUAGUGACGGUAGCUAAGGAGCAAGCCACGGCUAACUACGUGCCAGAAGCCGCGGUAAUCUGAGGCGGGCUGGCAAGGC